rnacentral:rRNA from 1 species
AUUGAACGCUGGCGGCAGGCUUAACACAUGCAAGUCGAGCGGGGUGAUGGUGCUUGCACUAUCACUUAGCGGCGGACGGGUGAGUAAUGCUUAGGAAUCUGCCUAUUAGUGGGGGACAACAUCUCGAAAGGGAUGCUAAUACCGCAUACGUCCUACGGGAGAAAGCAGGGGAUCACUUGUGACCUUGCGCUAAUAGAUGAGCCUAAGUCGGAUUAGCUAGUUGGUGGGGUAAAGGCCUACCAAGGCGACGAUCUGUAGCGGGUCUGAGAGGAUGAUCCGCCACACUGGGACUGAGGCACGGCCCAGACUCCUACGGGAGGGAGCAGUGGGGAAUAUUGGACAAUGGGGGGAAUCCUGAUCCAGCCAUGCCGCGUGUGUGAAGAAGGCCUUAUGGUUGUAAAGCACUUUAAGCGAGGAGGAGGCUCUUUUGGUUAAUACCCAAGAUGAGUGGACGUUACUCGCAGAAUAAGCACCGGCUAACUCUGUGCCAGCCGCCGCAGUAA